rnacentral:rRNA from 1 species
AGAGUUUGAUCAUGGCUCAGGACGAACGCUGGCGGCGUGCUUAACACAUGCAAGUCGAGCGGAAAGGCCCUUCGGGGUACUCGAGCGGCGAACGGGUGAGUAACACGUGGGCAACCUGCCCUUAGCUUCGGGAUAGCUCCGGGAAACCGGAAUUAAUACCGGAUAUGACCACGGCCGGCAUCGGCCACGGUGGAAAGUUUUUCGGCUAGGGAUGGACUCGCGGCCUAUCAGCUAGUUGGUGAGGUAACGGCCCACCAAGGCGACGACGGGUAGCCGGCCUGAGAGGGCGACCGGCCACACUGGGACUGAGACACGGCCCAGACUCCUACGGGAGGCAGCAGUGGGGAAUAUUGCGCAAUGGGCGAAAGCCUGACGCAGCGACGCCGCGUGGGGGAUGAAGGCCUUCGGGUUGUAAACCCCUUUCAGCAGGGACGAAGCGAAAGUGACGGUACCUGCAGAAGAAGCGCCGGCUAACUACGUGCCAGCAGCCGCGGUAACACGUAGGGCGCAAGCGUUGUCCGGAAUUAUUGGGCGUAAAGAGCUCGUAGGUGGUUUGUUACGUCUGCUGUGAAAACCUAGGGCUUAACCCUGGGCUUGCAGUGGAUACGGGCAGACUAGAGGUAGGUAGGGGAGAAUGGAAUUCCUGGUGUAGCGGUGAAAUGCGCAGAUAUCAGGAGGAACACCGGUGGCGAAGGCGGUUCUCUGGGCCUUACCUGACACUGAGGAGCGAAAGCGUGGGGAGCGAACAGGAUUAGAUACCCUAGUAGUCC